GGCGAGAUGGCCGAGCGGUCUAAGGCGCUAGAAUCAGGUUUGGGAAUUUCAACCCACCUAUCUAGUCUUUCGGGGCGGGGGUUCGAAUCCCCCUCUCGUCA